rnacentral:lncRNA from 1 species
GGAUAAAACACACACAGCUGUUAGGAUAAAAUUUUAGGGAGCAUGUUCCAGAGUGCUCAGCAGUUGCGGUUAACUGCCAAGCCCUGGUUGCCUCUUGCUAGGCAAUGGAAGGAAUCUUCUGUUCAUGAUAGUGUGGGUGAUGUGUGUGUGCAAGCGUGUGUGUGUGCAUUCAUGCCUUAACUGGGGUUACUGCUCAACUUUAGUUCUUGACCUAGUCUGCACUGUCGUCUAGAUUGUAUUGUACAUCUCGAUCUGAACUUCAUCCUGGCAAAAACAAAGUUGCAGGCACAACAGUUUGCGAGUGCAUUCCUCCAGCAGAGUGUUGGAUCAGGUUGACCCUGAGCCUUCUUUGGACUUUAUUGGGAACUAGGCAUGGAAAGCAAAAGUGGGCCGUCCCGAGGAAAGACAUCAGCGAGGAAGAGGAGAGAGCCAAGUGCUAGCAUGUCUUCGGCCUCUGCGUAUCUGUGCACACUGUAUGUCGUUCAUAAUAGCUUGUCUACAACUUGACUAGGUUGGAGUUCUGCUAAUAGUGGCAAUCUUGACAUUUCUUGGUCAGAAUUUAGAGAGAUGUAAGACUUCCAAUUAAUGUCUUAUUUACUUCUUUAUGUUGAUUAGCCUUUGAUACAUGUGCUGAAUCAGAACCUAAA